rnacentral:rRNA from 1 species
UACGGGGGGGGCAAGCGUUGUUCGGAAUUACUGGGCGUAAAGGGCUCGUAGGCGGCCAACUAAGUCAGACGUGAAAUCCCUCGGCUUAACCGGGGAACUGCGUCUGAUACUGGAUGGCUUGAGAUUGGGAGAGGGAUGCGGAAUUCCAGGUGUAGCGGUGAAAUGCGUAGAGAUCGGGAGGAACACCAGAGGCGAAGGCGGCGGCCUGGACAAGUACUGACACUCAACUACGAAAGCGUGGGGAGCAAACAGG